ACAUGGACUGUUUUCCCAUGCUUUAUUUUCUGUCGAGACAUCAUGAUUCCUGGUAAUCGAAUGCUGAUGGUCAUUUUAUUAUGCCAAGUCCUACUGGGGAGAGAGCAGCUAUGGCUAGUCUAAUACCCGAGGAAGGGAAGAAGAAAGCGUCGGCUCAGCACCUGGUUCAGAGUCAUGAACUGCUGCGGGACUUUGAAGCCAUGCCACGCUGCUGCACAUGUUUGGGCUGCAGAGGCGACCCGCGACCCAGCUACUCGGCUGUGGUGCCCCCAGUAUCUGCUGGACCUGUAUCGCCUGCAGUCAGGGGAGGCCGAAGAGGCCGGGGCCCACGACGUGAGCUUCGAUUAUCCCGAAAGGUCCACGAGUCGAGCAAACACUGUGAGAGGAUUCCAUCACGAAGAGCAUAUGGAAGAGCUGCAGUCAGACGGCUCACCGGAGACUCCUCUGCGCUUCGUCUUCAAUCUCAGCAGCAUCCCAGAGGAGGAACUCAUUUCUACUGCAGAGCUUCGUAUCUACAGGCAACAGAUAGAUGAUGCAAUCUCAGAUCCCCAACCCACGGGAGACGACGGUCUACACCGAAUAAACAUAUAUGAGGUGCUGAAGCCCCCGCGGGCUGGGCAGCUCAUCACGCAGCUGCUGGACACUCGACUGGUGCGCCACAACACGACCCGAUGGGAGAGCUUUGACGUGAGCUCAGCCGUAUUGCGCUGGACCCGUGACAAGAGCUCCAAUCACGGCCUGGCUGUGGAGGUGGUGCCCCUGAACCGAACCUCGCAUCACCAGGGACGCCACGUACGCGUAAGUCGCUCCUUGCAUCCGCUUCCAGAUGCAGACUGGAGCCAGCUUCGCCCCCUGCUGGUCACGUUCGGGCAUGACGGCAAAAGUCACCCACUGACGCGGCGAGCGAAACGCAGCCCGAAGCAAAGAGGUCGCAAGCGCAACCGAAACUGUCGGCGGCAUGCGCUUUAUGUGGACUUCAGCGACGUGGGCUGGAACGACUGGAUCGUGGCGCCGCCCGGAUAUCAGGCAUAUUACUGUCACGGGGAGUGUCCGUUCCCUUUGGCCGAUCACCUGAACUCCACCAAUCACGCUAUUGUGCAGACACUGGUGAACUCGGUAAACACCAAUAUUCCUAAGGCCUGCUGCGUUCCCACAGAGCUCAGUGCAAUCUCCAUGCUCUAUCUGGACGAGACGGACAGAGUGGUGCUAAAAAACUAUCAGGAGAUGGUGGUGGAGGGAUGUGGCUGCCGCUGAACGGGCCACAGUUACACCCUGGACACUUAUUUAUAACGUCCGUGUUGAGAUGUGUGUUUCUUGUCUCCUCGAUCAUAUAUUUUGACAAAAAAGUAUAUAUAAAUAUAUAUUUAUAUCAACAUAAUUAAAAAAAAAUGAAAUAAAAGCGUCCUUAUUUUAAUUAUAAUUCAGCUGUACAGCUUUUCAUAAUGUAUAUCAGACUGUAUAAGGGUUUUUCUAUGAGCUAGAAGAAUUAGCCACUAAAAAGUUUAUUUACUGGUAGUAUUUAUUUCUUUAAUACAGUAUACAUUCACCAAAUGCGUAGCCGAGCGACCCCCUCAGAAAGCAUCGUUUGUGUACUUAAAAUAGAGCACUGUGUGAAAUGCUAGGAAAACUGAUUGUCUUGCUAUAUCAGACGAAGAGAUCAGAUGUGUAUUGAUUUGCAUCAGCAUGUGAUUCACAUGUUCCCAAAGUAAUUUUGUUGUUAAAUAAAUUGUGAAACAUUCCAA